rnacentral:rRNA from 1 species
AAUUCCUACGGAAGGCAGCAGUGGGGAAUAUUGGACAAUGGGGGCAACCCUGAUCCCAGCCAUGCCGCGUGUGUGAAGAAGGCCCUCGGGUUGUAAAGCACUUUCAGCGAGGAAGAACGCCUAGUGGUUAAUACCCGUUAGGAAAGACAUCACUCGCAGAAGAAGCACCGGCUAACUCCGUGCCAGCAGCCGCGGUAAUACGGAGGGUGCAAGCGUUAAUCGGAAUUACUGGGCGUAAAGCGCGCGUAGGUGGCUUGAUAAGCCGGUUGUGAAAGCCCCGGGCUCAACCUGGGAACGGCAUCCGGAACUGUGAGGCUAGAGUGCAGGAGAGGAAGGUAGAAUUCCCGGUGUAGCGGUGAAAUGCGUAGAGAUCGGGAGGAAUACCAGUGGCGAAGGCGGCCUUCUGGACUGACACUGACACUGAGGUGCGAAAGCGUGGGUAGCAAACAGGAUUAGAUACCCUGGUAGUCCACGCCGUAAACGAUGUCGACCAGCCGUUGGGUGCCUAGAGCACUUUGUGGCGAAGUUAACGCGAUAAGUCGACCGCCUGGGGAGUACGGCCGCAAGGUUAAAACUCAAAUGAAUUGACGGGGGCCCGCACAAGCGGUGGAGCAUGUGGUUUAAUUCGAUGCAACGCGAAGAACCUUACCUACCCUUGACAUCGACAGAAGCCUGGAGAGAUCCGGGUGUGCCUUCGGGAACUGUCAGACAGGUGCUGCAUGGCUGUCGUCAGCUCGUGUUGUGAAAUGUUGGGUUAAGUCCCGUAACGAGCGCAACCCUUGUCCUUAUUUGCCAGCGCGUAAUGGCGGGAACUCUAAGGAGACUGCCGGUGACAAACCGGAGGAAGGUGGGGACGACGUCAAGUCAUCAUGGCCCAUACGGGUAGGGCUACACACGUGCUACAAUGGCCGGUACAAAGGGCGGCGAGCUCGCGAGAGUCAGCGAAUCCCUUAAAGCCGGUCUCAGUCCGGAUCGGAGUCUGCAACUCGACUCCGUGAAGUCGGAAUCGCUAGUAAUCGUGCAUCAGAAUGGCACGGUGAAUACGUUCCCGGGCCUUGUACACACCGCCCGUCACACCAUGGGAGUGGACUGCACCAGAA